rnacentral:rRNA from 1 species
CCUACGGGAGGCUGCAGUGGGGAAUAUUGGACAAUGGGGGGAACCCUGAUCCAGCGACGCCGCGUGAGUGAAGAAGUAUUUCGGUAUGUAAAGCUCUAUCAGCAGGGAAGAAAGAAAUGACGGUACCUGACUAAGAAGCCCCGGCUAACUACGGGCCAGCAGCCGCGGUAAUACGUAGGGGGCAAGCGUUAUCCGGAUUUACUGGGUGUAAAGGGAGCGUAGACGGCGAUGCAAGUCUGAAGUGAAAGGCGGGGGCCCAACCCCCGGACUGCUUUGGAAACUGUAUGGCUGGAGUGCAGGAGAGGUAAGUGGAAUUCCUAGUGUAGCGGUGAAAUGCGUAGAGAUUAGGAGGAACACCAGUGGCGAAGGCGGCUUACUGGACUGUAACUGACGUUGAGGCUCGAAAGCGUGGGGAGCAAACAGGAUUAGAUACCCCAGUAGUC